UACGUAGGGGGCAAGCGUUGUCCGGAUUUAUUGGGCGUAAAGAGCGUGUAGGCGGCCAUACAGGUCAGCUGUGAAAACUCGAGGCUCAACCUCGAGACGUCGGUUGAAACCGUAUGGCUAGAGUCCGGAAGAGGAGAGUGGAAUUCCCGGUGUAGCGGUGAAAUGCGCAGAUAUCGGGAAGAACACCUAUGGCGAAGGCAGCUCUCUGGGACGGUACUGACGCUGAGACGCGAAAAGCGUGGGGAGCGAACAGG
rnacentral:rRNA from 1 species